CCUACGGGUGGCAGCAGUCGAGAAUCAUUCACAAUGGGGGAAACCCUGAUGGUGCGACGCCGCGUGGGGGAAUGAAGGUCUUCGGAUUGUAAACCCCUGUCAUGUGGGAGCAAAUUAAAAAGAUAGUACCACAAGAGGAAGAGACGGCUAACUCUGUGCCAGCAGCCGCGGUAAUACAGAGGUCUCAAGCGUUGUUCGGAAUCACUGGGCGUAAAGCGUGCGUAGGCUGUUUCGUAAGUCGUGUGUGAAAGGCGCGGGCUCAACCCGCGGACGGCACAUGAUACUGCGAGCCUAGAGGAAUGGAGGGGGAACCGGAAGUCUCGGUGUAGCAGUGAAAUGCGUAGAUAUCGAGAGGAACACUCGGGGCGAAGGCGGGUUCCUGGACAUUAACGGACGCUGAGGCACGAAGGCCAGGGGAGCGAAAGGGAUUAGAUACCCGGGUAGUC
rnacentral:rRNA from 1 species